GCCGCCUUAGCUCAGCUGGUAGAGCAACACUUUCGUAAAGUGGAGGUCCCCAGUUCAAAUCUGGGAGGCGGCUCCA
rnacentral:tRNA from 3 species